UCCAGACUCCUACGGGAGGCAGCAGUGGGGAAUAUUGCACAAUGGGGGAAACCCUGAUGCAGCGACGCCGCGUGAGCGAUGAAGUAUUUCGGUAUGUAAAGCUCUAUCAGCAGGGAAGAAAAUGACGGUACCUGACUAAGAAGCCCCGGCUAACUACGUGCCAGCAGCCGCGGUAAUACGUGGGGGGCAAGCGUUAUCCGGAUUUACUGGGUGUAAAGGGAGCGUAGACGGCGAUGCAAGUCUGAAGUGGAAGGCGGGGGCCCAACCCCCGGACUGCUUUGGAAACUGUAUGGCUGGAGUGCAGGAGAGGUAAGUGGAAUUCCUAGUGUAGCGGUGAAAUGCGUAGAUAUUAGGAGGAACACCGGUGGCGAAGGCGGCCUGCUGGACUGCAACUGACGUUGAGGCCCGAAAGCGUGGGGGGCAAACAGGAUUAGAUACCCUUGUA
rnacentral:rRNA from 1 species